AAUAUGAUUUGUUAGGUGAGGCUCCUAUACAAACACAGGCUACUGCCCAAAAACGUCGAGAGACACCAAUGGGUAGAACAGGGAUUGUCGAAGACAAGGCUUUCCAUAAGGUAGCUGUUAAAAGUAACGACUUUUAACUACGUUGUACAGUGCUAAAGCCCAACGACUAGAUCAAUUG
rfam:Lactobacillus dextrinicus DSM 20335 NODE_43, whole genome shotgun sequence.